rnacentral:lncRNA from 10 species
AUGCCCAGAAAAUAUGGUAAGCUAUGUUAACAAGCCAUAUUAGAUAUCAAGCAUUAAUAUGGAAAUAAACCAGCCCACCUGCACCCAGGUGAAAUAAACAGCUUUAUUGCUCACACAAAGCCUGUUUGGUGGUCUCUUCACAUGGACGCGCAUGAAAUUUGGUGCCGUGACUCGGAUCGGGGGACCUCCCUUGGGAGAUCAAUCCCCUGUCCUCCUGCUCUUUGCUCCGUGAGAAACAUCCACCUAUGGCCUCAGGUCCUCAGACCGACCAGCCCAAGAAACAUCUCACCAAUUUCAAAUCCGACAAAUCCUGCCCUGAUUCUGGGGACCAUGCCUGUGGAGAUGCACAGUUCUACCAUUCAAAAUGACUAUCUGAAAAUACCUCCUAAGAAGGACAAAACUUUUCUUCAGCCAAGAGGGCACUUGUUAAUAUGAUUAGAUACAUAUGUAAUGGUGUCCCCCUCCCCUCUUAGCCCCUCAGUGUGUGUUCUCUCAGUCAGUGUAUCUACAUGCAGGAGACAUUAAAGGAUGGAUGUAACUUCAGACCUUCAUUUCCCCAUAAGUAUUGCUUUCAGAGAAUAUCUAAUGAAGUCACAUGGAUGAAGAUUUCUGUAUCAUUUGUUUCCCAGAAUGGCUCUCCAACUUACAUUUCAUCAUCCACCCACAUAUCCACUUAUCCAUUCAACCUUCAUGUACUGACUGAAAACUCCUCUUAUAUAGUUUUCCUCAGCAGUUUCCUCUUCUGGGGAUUUUCUGCUGUUUUGGUAACCUGUUUUAAUGUUGUAUUUUAUGUGUUCCUAAGGGCAAUGCAAGUUGUUUAAAGAGGCAAUUAUCUCAUGUGAUUUAUGAGAUUUGCUGGACAAAUUCCAAUAAAAAAUGUACUUGAGAAGUAUGUCACAGGUUUAUUGCUGGUAUCAAUAAAGUCUCUAUAGUGUGUGGCAAUCCAUGUUUUAAAAGGAGUUAGCUUUGUGAUCAUAGAUUAUCAAAUCUAAUAUGCCACCAAUUAUAAGAUUUAUUCCAGUUUUUGAGAUGUAAAAAUGUAAAAAAUAAAGGUCAGCAAUUAUUUUAUAAUUUCAUGUAUUGUAAGAUAUAUGUAGAAUCAAAAGACGGUAAAAUGUGAAAUAAAGUGCACCUAAGAAUUGAUUAAAUAGGUUAUGGCCUUAAUAAUUCCUUUGCAAGUUUCUCCUAUACAUUACUAAUGGUAAAAUAAGUAAACUGAAUAAUAUUGAUAGGAAUAAAAACAAUAAGUUGGAGGAGAUUCAAUAGUGAUAACAGCCGACAUUCAUCUAGUGCCUAGUAUGGGUUGGGCAAU